AUAGGGGAUCGGUGGAUAUGAUAGUCGUGGACAUGGGAUACGUGGACAACAGCUCUGUGGAUAGCAAACAACAACAUGAGUUAAGGGGAGUUGCAUGGAUUGGAGACUGGUAGAAGAUGAGUUUCGAUGUGUAUGAAGAUGGAUGGACAAGAGUUUCGUGGAUAGGAGAUCGGUGGAUAUGAUAGUCGUGGACAUGAGAUACGUGGACAACAACUCUGUGGAUAGCAAACAACAACAUGAGUUUCGAUGUGUAGAAGAUGGAUGGACAUGAGUUCCUUCGACAAGAGAUUCAGUGGAUAGGAUAGUGGUGGACAUGAGAUACGUGGACAACAGAUCUGUGGAUAUCAUGAGUGAUAUUUUACCGUGACAAUAAGAAAUUAGCACAUGAGAUUAUAUUAUGAUGAUAGUUCUCGGUUAGUCUGCUUAUGAAAAUUAAAAAUCAAAACUACAAUAAGAAGUAUUUAAAAGUAAAAAUCAAACUUUGUAUAUCGAAGGAUGAGAGUUUCUCAGCCAUUAAGGAUGGA
rnacentral:lncRNA from 1 species